rnacentral:rRNA from 1 species
GAUGAACGCUAGCUACAGGCUUAACACAUGCAAGUCGAGGGGUAACAAGAGGAAAGCUUGCUUUUCUUGUUGACGACCGGCGCACGGGUGAGUAACGCGUAUCCAACCUGCCUAUAACUAGGGAAUAACCUUGCGAAAGUAAGACUAAUACCCUAUGAUUUCCUUUGAUGACAUCAGAUUAGGAAUAAAGAUUCAUCGGUUAUAGAUGGGGAUGCGUCUGAUUAGCUUGUUGGCGGGGUAACGGCCCACCAAGGCAACGAUCAGUAGGGGUUCUGAGAGGAAGGUCCCCCACAUUGGAACUGAGACACGGUCCAAACUCCUACGGGAGGCAGCAGUGAGGAAUAUUGGUCAAUGGGCGGAAGCCUGAACCAGCCAAGUAGCGUGCAGGAUGACGGCCCUAUGGGUUGUAAACUGCUUUUAUACAGGAAUAAAGUUAGCCACGUGUGGUUAUCUGUAGGUACUGUAUGAAUAAGGACCGGCUAAUUCCGUGCCAGCAGCCGCCGUAA